rnacentral:lncRNA from 1 species
ACGAUUUUUUUCUUUUAACCAGACAAAUCAUGAAGCUAAGAAGCUCAUGGCCUCUGCAUGUGCAUGGGAUCAGCAAGUGGAACUUAGUCAACGAUAAAUUGAUUCUCGAAAGAAUGUGGAACAAUUUAUGAGGAUUGAAGGUAAGAUGAGAAUUCAUGAUACCGAAAACAUAACCAGAAUAGAAUUUUAUUUGUAUGUUUUAUCACUUUACAAGCAUAAAGGUCAGAAAUUAAUUUCCCCAAGUAAAGACUUGGAUAAUAUUUUAAGUACAUAGAAGACACAAGGACAUGAAGAAUACUUGAGUUUAUCUCGACAUGACAAAUUCUCCAAAAAUACGAACUUAAUUCAAGGAGGGAUGCAAAGUGCUUACAUUCAAAGUCUCCAUUCUGAAAGGUAGGAAAAAAUUUUAAAACACGUCUGACUAAAGUCUAGAAACAUUGCAGGCUUCUCAAGUGGCUUUCAGAUUCAAUCUUUCAUUCAAAUCCAUCCAUCUGAAUAUCAGAAUAUGUACAGUAUUUAAACAUCAAAAUACCAAGUACUCUAACCAUAUAAAUAUCUGAACCUACCCAAUUAUUGUUUUGAUCUAGAUUUUGGUGCCAAAUAUAUUACCAUUUCAUGAGCUAAAGAGGGACAUUUCUGCCUACAACAUAUGAACAGAAGGUCACUAGAAGCACGGUACUUUCCAACUUGAUCAACAUUAACUACAUUAGAGAAAGGAAAAAUAAAAAAUGGCUUGUGAAUUUGGGAUGUAUUGUGCUCAAAUGAUGUGCUUAAGGAAAAUCAAUUUGGGUUCGUGGAAUCAGUAUGUCUAGGAACAAGCAAAUCAUUUAGGUAGAUGGUUUCAAGUUUUUGUUGCCACCUACAAGAGAGUUGAAGAAGAAUAAAAAGAGAAGAAAGAAAUUCAUGAAGCAAUGAGAAUUAUAUGUCUUCUCCGAAUAUCAUAAUAUCCCGUAUCAACAUCAUUCAUGCAUUUUUCUCGAAUGCUAUUCUAAUAAGCACUAACUUCACUGCUAUUCUGAGUAGAAUGGAGAGACUUUUAUUAAAUAGUUGAGUGUUUUGUUUAUUAGUUAGCUGGAUCUUGUAAGCAUACUAUUCUUACAUGUGAUUUACAGCUUAUUUUAUGUUUUUACUUAAUACAAAACUGAAUAGCAAUUACCAUUUCCUAACUGACUAAUAUAUCAUAAGAAUGGACAAAAAAGUUGCGCACUGAAAUUAUUCAGUGACAGACUUCACGCAUUCAUACAUGCUCUUCUUCUUGUAAGUCAUAAUUGUGCAAUGAAUUUUAAG